AUUGAACGCUGGCGGCAUGCCUUACACAUGCAAGUCGAACGGUAACGGGCCUUCGGGUGCCGACGAGUGGCGAACGGGUGAGUAAUACAUCGGAACGUGCACGAUCGUGGGGGAUAACGAGGCGAAAGCUUUGCUAAUACCGCAUACGAUCUACGGAUGAAAGCAGGGGACCGCAAGGCCUUGCGCGGACGGAGCGGCCGAUGGCAGAUUAGGUAGUUGGUGGGAUAAAAGCUUACCAAGCCGACGAUCUGUAGCUGGUCUGAGAGGAUGAUCAGCCACACUGGGACUGAGACACGGCCCAGACUCCUACGGGAGGCAGCAGUGGGGAAUUUUGGACAAUGGGCGCAAGCCUGAUCCAGCCAUGCCGCGUGCAGGAUGAAGGCCUUCGGGUUGUAAACUGCUUUUGUACGGAACGAGAGGCCUUCUUUUAAUACAGGAGGGUCAUGACGGUACCGUAAGAAUAAGCACCGGCUAACUACGUG
rnacentral:rRNA from 1 species